CCCUUAACAUAAUCACAACAUAAUAUAAUAGAAAAUACGGGAAAUUUAUAACUUUUAAGAUCUACAAUCAAAGCAUUUUCAUAAAUUGCAAAAAUAAGUUUUUUCUUACUCUUUGUCUCAAACCAUCUAACUUGACAUGAAUAAUAAAGUUUUGGAAGCAACCCGUACACGGUCUUUUACAUAAAAGUAAAUGACAUAAAAAGGCAAUAGGUAUGAGGACAGACCAAGUCUUCAAUCUUCCUUAGCUCCUCAGAACCAAUCUCCAAAAAAACUUAAGCCUCGACCCUACAUUUGGUUAGAAUGUAGGCAAUAUGCUUUAGUACAAAAUGUACCAAGUAUGGAAGCUAGUACAAAAUCAUAAGAGCAUCUAAAAUUGUUAGUCAACAUAAUACAUAAGCAUAAGAGACAAUAACAUGAUCAUAACAUUAUCAUCAUAGUCAUAACAUGAACAUAGGCUUCAUAUAAAUAUAGUAAACAUAAGACAUAGUUAAAGAGCAUAGAAGAUAAGUCAUAAUCAUAAUAAUUCAAUUCUUCAUCAUAAGCAUAAUUGACUUUUGGUCAUCCAUGUCAUAAUAACACCAUUCUUAAGUAACUUGAAAAUCAUAUAUGUGCAAAUUAAGAAUAACAUCCCGUAGUACUACCCAAGCCAACUAUACCUUUUUGGUUAUCUUAAUCAUAGUCUAAAUGCAUGGUUUAGUCAUAAGCUUAUUUACCUUAAAGGGCACCAUGAUUCUAGGUAACAUCAAAGCACACUAUUGCAACGCAUGAAAGGCAUCACAUACUACCCUUCACACCAAGUAUAAUCUUAAAGUCAUCCUAGUCACAUCCACCCUUCUUAGGUCUUACUGUUGGCUAUCUUCAUAUAGACAACGGAACUACCACCUUAGUCAAUCAUAUACUGGAAAGCAACUAUGGCAACAACCAAAGCUAAGUCAUUCUACAUAAGGGAAACCUUCACAAAUAGCCUCAAUUCAUACUUCUGUCAUGUAUGGAUAGCAUCCCAUACUACUACCCACACUAAGUAUUUCUAUAGACUACCAUGAAGGUUCCUAUAUAGGGACUACUCCCUCUUGACUAUUUACCUCUUAUUCAUUUAAUGUACUUCUCUAUUUAGUACUUGGCAAGUUAUCACACUUGAAUAAGCACAAGACCUCAAUUCAAGACUACCGAAGAAUAGCACCCUACUAGCCUAGACCAAGUUAAUAACCUAACUAGCAUGACCACAUUAUGCUAAGUCAAGCUACCAUAGAGGGCAUACUAUCAUGCAAGUCCAAAUUAUGUAAGGAAUGAUAUCAGUGCCUAAUCCUACCUACCAUGCAACACAUCCCAUGAUGUUAUGCAAGUUAUCCUUAGGAGAGAGUAAAUUCUCAGUCCUAGGCUACCAUGAGUACUACUAACUCAAGCUAUUAUUGAAAUGCACCUUACAAUGCAAGUCAAGCUACCCUUAAAAGUGUACUAGAAUACAAAUGCAAGAUAUCCAUAUGCAAGAUAUCCAUAGGAGAGUAUGAACCCUCAAUCCUAAAGCUACCAUGAAAUGGUCUUGUCCAAACCAAGUCAAGAUACAAUGAAAUGCAUCCGAAAAAUACAAUUUCAAGCUACCCAUAGGAGAGUAUAAAUCCUCAAUCCUAAGCUACCAUGAAAUGGUCUUGUCUUAUUAAGUCAAGCUACGAUGAAAAACAUCCUAACAAUGCUAGUUCAAGUUGUCCAUAGGAGAGUAUAAAUCCUCAAUUCUAAGCUACCAUUCCUACUCUAGUGCAAGCUACCGUGAAUAUCAUCCCAUAAAUGCUAAUUCAAACUACCAUGAAAAGAAUCCACAAAUGCUAACUCAAGCUAACCUUAUUAGAGUAUUUAUCCUCCAUCCCAAACUAGAAACCUUGGUCUUAUUCUACUAAGCCAAGCUAUACAUGAAGAAAACAUAUGCCUUAACUUCAAGCUAUUCUAGACUAACAUGAUUUGAUUCAUUUUAGUUUCUUAAGUCAAGCUAAAAUCCUUCUAUGUGAGAGAACUUGAAUUUCCUAGCAUAUUCAUGUCAAAGUGUAGAUAAUACACCAUGAGAUUACAUUAUAUUGACUUCCCCCUCCCCCCCCCCCCCCAAAAAAAAAAAGAAAAAUCCCUAACAAUGAUGGUAAAAGCCCUACUAUCAAGAUUAACUUUAUUCUAUCAUGAUCCAUGUCUAAAUUAUAGGUUAUUCAAUCACAUUGUUCAUUAGAAUGUGAUUCUAGCAUACUUGAUAAUAUAGGUUCAAUUCUAACCUUAAAAGUCAAGAUACUUCCUAUUCAAUGUCAUGUUCAACUCAUAAUUAGAUGAUCCUAACUUUGAUCAAUUAGCAUUCAAGACAUUGAUUUAGGAAGACCACUUUAGAACCUUCAACUUUGCCUUUAAGCUCCUAAACCCACAAUGAUCACGUUCACCAAUUUAGAUUAGGGUUAAUCAUAAAAAUCACAUGAAAUAAUUAUAUAAUCACUAAAAAAAUAUAAAUCAAUCAUAAUUGGUUGAUAUCCACUAGAUUGGAAUCACAUCCAAUCCCUACCCAGAAUUCAAGCACAACCCUAACUAGAAUUUGGGUUUGCUGACUCCCAAUUGGGGGGAAACUAAGGGGGCUUCAUGGGGAAUAACCCAUGUAUGAAUAAGAUUCACAUAUCUUCAAUAACUUCCCUAAAAGAGUCUUGAACCCAUGGAUGAAUUCGACCCUAGUUGUUGACUUUCUUCUUUUCUCUUCUUCUUCUAUUCUAGAAUUGAUUUUUUGGAAAGAGUUUUGGGGGAUUUAGAUGAAUGAGUCCUAAUGAUUACUUUAGGGUUUAUUUAAGCUUAUAUAAGUGUUUAAAAAAACUAAUAAACCUACAUUAAUCACUAAUUAAUAACUAACUUAACCACUAAACACUUAACUAAAAACUACAUGUUGAAAACUAGCAGCAUCCACGAGACACCCGUCCACGGGCCGUGGAUGGGUCUACUGGCUGUGGUUUUGUCUUGUGGUUUGUUUCUGAGACCUGUAAGUUGUACAAAAUAUAGGACUUGGUCCAUGCCCAUGACCCACGGGCCGUGGACUGGUCUCCUGGUCGUGAAUGGCUAACCGUAGGUCACUAGAUUUGACAAAUUUAGGGGACUGUUUUGAGGUCCUCUUCAAAGACCCCUAGGUUAGUCCUUGGGGGGUAUUACUUAUACGUUAAAACCCUAAACAUGUAAUUCUAAUUACGGUAAUCAUUUAUACAAGUUUUAUCCCUUAUACAACACCCAAAACCUCAACUACACUGAAUUUCGAGGUAUUACACAUAGCAACUUUUUCCCAAGUUGUAGAAGCAACUCUGAGACAUGAUAUGGCUUAAUUUCCGUGACAAUAAUAUCAUCCACAUAUAACAAGAGAGAUAUUUUUCCUUUGUGAGUUUGGAAAGUAACUUAGAAAGGGCCAGCCUUACUACAAAUGAAACCAAGGUGUAAGAGAUGCAUGCUAAACAUAUCAGACCAGAAUCUUGGUGUUUUUUUAAGAUCAUACCAUGAGUUUUUAAGUAGACACAUAUGUUGAGGAUAAUGGGUAUCAAAAAACCAUAAUGUUGACUCGUGUGCACCUCCUCUUGUAGUAAGCCAUAGAGAAAGAAAUUUUUGACAUCUAUUUAUCCAAAUUUCCACUUUGAACUGAUAACAAUGGAUAGAACCACCCUAAUAUUUGUGGCUUUAACCACAAAACUAAAUAUUUCUUCAAAAUCCAUCCCUUCAAGCUAUGAGAAUCCCUAUGCCACAAGUCUGGCCGUUUAUCUAUCUAAUGUCCCAUCAACUUUUAAUUUUCUUAGAACACCCAUUUUGACCAAACCAAGAUUAUACCAGUAUAUUUGGGCACCAAAAUCCAUGUCUUGUUAUUAUGUAAAGCAAUAAUUUCUUCCUGCAUUGAUGCAAGCCAAUGGAGUGAUCUUAGUGCUUCCUUAGUAGCAUUUGAUUCUCUCACAAUUUAUGUUCUGCUGCAAGCAACAUGUGACAAGUGAUGUUCCUUCGCCUUGUGUUUGGUGAUCAUAUGAUUCACUUGUGGUGAAAGAAGUACCUCAACUGGAACAUCAACAAAGGUAGUUGAAUUGAGUGUAGCAUUGUCAGGUUGAUGGUCAACGGGUACAUCAACUAAAGUGGUUGUUUCAUGAUGAUCAUUGAUUGGACAUGUAAUUUCAACUUUCUCCUCACUGCUACUACCUGAUUCAAAAUAUGCAACUAGAGUUUCAAUACUACUAUAAAUAUCAUCACCUUUCAACAUGUUUCUAAACAUCUGAUCUUGCGGAUGAGAGGUCAAUAGUACUCUCAUCAUCAAGGAGUAUAUGAGUUAUAAUGGACUAUCAGUUUGUACUUCCCUUGAAUAAGAAUUAUCAUGUGCAUAUGAUACGCUCAAAUUAAACCUCUCUAAUGAAGUAUAAGCGGUUGUAAUCAAGUAGAGAACCCAACUAGUAGGUUGGGGUCGAUCCCACAAGGAAAAUGGUUGACUUAACUUCAACGUACAAAUUAUGUCUAUUUAGCCAAGGUUUUUCCAAAAACAAGUAAUUAAAGGGGGGGUUUGUGAAACAAGUUUAUUUAAAACUUCUAAGUUAACAAGUAAGCAAAAGUAAAAAUUGAACUUUUAUCAAUUUGUGAGACCAACUAGGGUAUACGUGUUCCACAUAGGUUCAUAACGUCGUAUUCCUAGCAAUAGCAAUUGUUCCUAGUGUUUUACAUGUAAAGUGGUAAGUUAUGUAUCUCUAAAUCCUUAUUCCGACAUCUAGAGAAUUUCAUCUCGCACCUUGGUCCGGAUACGUGCGUAUAAUUAACUAACUCUUACCGUUACCUCAUAUUAGACAUCAUAAUUGAUGUGUGCUUAGUUAUUACUUCGCACCAAUCGACACUAGCUUAUUAGAUAGUAUCCCACUAAAUCUAUGUUGAUAAUUCUUUCCCUAUUACUACCUCCUUGGUCCGAAAAGUAGAAACAAUGCUAGUUGUAACGCGUGCACUCAUUAAAAAGACUUUUAAAGGAAAGAAUUAUCAAUACAUGCAAGAAACUAUUUGAGAAUUGCUUAUUUGCUAGGUCUACUUUGUCAAUUAUCCAUGGUUCCCACAACCCUAGUUGCACAUUUAGUUAUCCAUCCAAGCAAGAUCACAAUUCAUAGUUUUUAAAGAAGAAAUCAUGAACUUACUUCAACAAUAAGAAUAAACCCAAAAAAAUCAACUUGAAAUUGCAAGAUGAUGCUUCAAACCAAAUCCGAAAAUUGAUUGAUUGCUAAAGUUUGCAAAAACCAAUCUCCAAACAAAAGUAGUUUAAUACUAAUAAUGUAUAACCCCAAAAAUGAGGUUUUAAUCUUCUAUUUAUAGAAAAUAUUUUCCUAAAUUAAAAGGAAUUGAAAUGAGGAAAGUUUGUCCAAAAACACGACAUUGAUCGACGACCCCUACUAACGGACUGUCGAUGGAACGACGGUCCGUCGACUGCGUCCAUCAGUCCACACUUAGAAUUAUUUUUCUUUAUCACCUUAGUAUAUUGUCUAAAUCAAACGACGGACCUGUAGUACGGUCCGUCGACUCAUCUACGGUCCAUCGAUGCUCCUCUAUUGUUCCAUCCUUAUCCUUCUUUGAACCGAUAGACGGUUCACCAGUACGGUCUGUUAAUUUGAUUGAUAGACAAAUUGUCAUUUGAGUUCGUGGUCCCACACAUAGUCAUAAUUCUCUAAUCUUCUCCCUUAGCCUGAACUUCUCAUCGAUGGUCACCACCUACGGACCGUCGAUUGAACGACGAGCUGUCGAUGGCCUUCGUAGGUCAUCUUUCUUCACUUUUUAUUAGUUGCCUUCUGCUUUUUUUAUCUGGACAUCUUUCGUGCAAAACAAACAAAAAAACAUGUUAAAACUACUACAUAAAGACUCUAGACACACACAACUCUUAAGCUAAAUGCAUUGAAAGCACCGUAAAACCACGGUACAUCAGCCUACAGUUUAGAGAAAGAUUCAAACAAUGUAGCAAGAUAAGGUAAGACAUCAAUGUUAGUCUGAUAUUGCUUUGGAGACUCUUAGGGUAAUGUGUUUUCAUCAAACACAACAUUCUAGAUAUGUAAGCCCUCAUUGUAGAGGGGUGAUAGCAUUUAUAUCCUUUGUGUAAGUUGGUGUACCCUAUGAACACACAAGGGUAGGACCUUGGACUAAACUUAUUGCUACAUUUGAUACAUGGAAAACAUAUACACACAAACACUUUUAGGCUAUUGUGAUCAGGUUAUUCUCCAUACAACUUAACAAAUGGAGUUGCUAUCUUUAGGAUUGAUGAAAGAAGUUUAUGGAUGACGAAUACUGCAGUGAGGAAUGCCUCAACCCAUAGAAACAAAGGUAGGUCAGCAUGAAGUAGUAGAGCUAAGCUACUCUCCACAAUAUACCUAUGUUUUCUCUCUAUAGCUCUAUUUUGUUCAGGUGUGUUAGCACAUGAAAUAUGAAUCACAAUGCCAUAAUCUUCCAAGUGCUUAAUUAAGGUUGUUUGGAUAAACCCACCACCUCUAUCACGAUGAAAAAUCUUAAUCUCUUCAAAAAUUUGUUUUUCCACCAUUUUCUCAAAUUUUACCAAGACCUCAAAAAAUUUGGAUUUCUUUUUCAGUGGAUAAUCCAUGUAAAUCUCGUGUGAUCAUCAACAAAAAUGACAUAAUAUUUCAUAUGUUGGGAAAAUUCGACAAGAGCAGAUCCGUAUAAAUCACAAUGGAUUUUCAAUAAAGGUUUCUUCUCAAUUUUAUUUCUCAAACUGAUGAAAGUUUACAACUCUUUAUCAACUGAUAACAUGAACAAACAGUAGGCAUUUUACUCCAACUACUAAUAUUGAUGCAACUAUUACUAUUCAAACUUUUGAAGUCUUCAAACUAGUGUGUCCUAAUCUAGUAUGUCACAUGUUGUCUGAAGUGUUCUUGUUGUGUGCAACAUUUAAAGCAUAGAGAUUGUUAUCUUCCAAAGCAUAUAGUCCAUUAGUUCCCUUGGCCAACCCUUGUCUUAUUGUCCUUUACAAAAAAGUUAGUUUCAUCAAAUUCAAGAGUGAAACAAUUAUCCUUUGCAAGCUUACUAACUGAGAGUAAAUUCUUAUUAAUCUUAGGGACUAUAAGAAUUUCUUUUAACUUUAGACCCAAUCUGAAUAGAUUCCCAACAUGUAUAAUGUCUAACUUUGAUCCAUUCCAAUAAUGAUUUUAUCUGGUCCAUUUUAGUAUUUAAGAUUAGUUAGGAUACCUAUGUUAUGUGUCAUAUGGAUACCUGCUCCUGAGUCGACAUACAAGGUAACAUCAUUAGUGCUUAGUAGAUUAGUAACAGACAAUGCUUCUGGUAGAUCAUCUGCGGCUUGGUAAGAGUGAUGACACUUGUGAAAACACUUAAGACCAGUAUGGUUAUUCUUACCACAAAUUUGACAUGCAUCAAUAUUGUUCCUCUCAUGACUUCCACUUGAAGUAGUGUUCUGAGGACCUAGUUCGUAUCUGCUGUUAUAAGAACUUUUUUCUUGUCGAGCAAGCUUAAAGCUUCUUCCUCUGGAAUUGAAAUUAUCAUUUCCUCUUCUUUGGGAGUAAUUUCCUCUUCCCCUGCUUCUUUUGGCAUAAAAUGCGGGUUAUGGUUUUGUUGAGGCACUUUUUCUUCAUCCUCCCUCAUAUCAAAAGCCCCAGAGAACAUUAACAAAUUGAUUAAUAGUAGAUUAUGGUGUCUUACCUAGCAUGAUAGUCUUGAAGGUCUUAUACUUAAGACCUAGACCUCUAGAAAAAUUAUUCACUUUGCUAUCUUUAUCUACAGGCUUGUGAAUGGCUUUAAGGUUGUCAUGCCUUUAAAUUGCUUAAUAUAUUCGUCAAUUAUUUUGGUUCCUAUCUUUAUAAUUUAUCGUUGUUGUUUGAGUUGGAACUUUUAUCUUUUGUUGCUUGAAGAUAAGUUUCUUCCAAGCAUUCCCAUAUCUCCUUAACAUUUGAGCAGCCUACGAUCAAGAACACUUAAUCAUGGGUUCUCGGCAAAGCCAAUCAAAAUAACCCCAUUGUUCAGAAGCAGGUUUUGGAGCUAUGUUUUUAUACAAGUUUAGUCUUUAAUGCUUUAGUUUCUUUGUAUCUUUCAUCUGUGCAGUUUCUGUGUUUAUAUUCUAAAUUUACUGGCUAUCGUAUUGACACUGUGCAAUGACUUAUGCAUUCAGGUCCUGUAACUAUCUCGCGUAUCUUUUAUGUCAUUUCCAUCCUCAAUAUAUUGAACAAGGCCUCUGUAAUACAAAACAUUGACAUUCGUGUUGGUGACAUCUUUUAAAAAGAUUCACCUGUGAUAUUGCUUUCACUGCAGGCUCUUUACGCAAUUAAAAACAUACUACUAGGAAGUUCAAACCUUCAGAGACUUGUGUAAAUUGAACGAGGUACUUGAGAGGACGAGGCAACAGUUAAAUGAUCUUAGAAAAGAAUACGCAAUAGAUGUGGAAAGUCUUGGUAAAGAAGUUAACCUGACCUUCCAUCAAAAGCUGAAUAGAUUCCUUUUUCAUUUGAAGUUGAAUUUGGAUCCUCUGCUAAAACUCGAAAUGACAGGUUACACAAGCUGCAAUAUGAUGACAGUUUCUGGCAUGAUCCGGUUCUUGAACUUUAUACUGUUUACAUUCUUCUCUGUGGGGAAGACGCGGAAGUGGAUCGAUAUCUUCAUCAUCUCACUCCGUUUGUUCAUCUGGACAUGGACUCGAAAUUGGUACAUCAUCUGUUUAGGACAAGACUAAUGUGAGAUGG
rnacentral:lncRNA from 1 species